rnacentral:rRNA from 1 species
UACGUAGGGUGCAAGCGUUAAUCGGAAUUACUGGGCGUAAAGCGUGCGCAGGCGGUUUUUUAAGUCUGACGUGAAAUCCCCGGGCUUAACCUGGGAAUUGCGUUGGAGACUGCAAGGCUAGAAUCUGGCAGAGGGGGGUAGAAUUCCACGUGUAGCAGUGAAAUGCGUAGAGAUGUGGAGGAACACCGAUGGCGAAGGCAGCCCCCUGGGUCAAGAUUGACGCUCAUGCACGAAAGCGUGGGGAGCAAACAGG